AUGUGCCUACUAACCGAGCCUCUCUGGAAUCUUCCGGAUGGACUAGGAAAGUUGACAUCAAUGGAAGUGUUGGGUGAAAUCUGUGGUGAUUCUCUAUGCACUGUGAAAGCACUGGGCAACAUAACAUUGAGGAAACUCCAAAUUAAAUUUAAUGACCUAAGCAUGGAGUUAGAGGAAGCUUUUAUGGAGUCACUAGGAGAACUUUCCAACAUCCAAAGUCUAGAAAUUGAUGCCAGUGGCGCUUCCAUGGAUCUCUUGGGGGAACGUUGGGUGCCUCCUAGAAGUCUCCGAGAAUUUAUCGCCGACAAACAUGGCAUAUUCUCCAUGUUGCCAGCAUGGAUAAGGAGGAAUCCCUCGCAUCUGUCGCAACUAUGCGAGUUGCACAUAUGGGUCGAGGAAGUGGGGCAGGAGGAUCUGGGAUUCCUUGGGAGGUUAUCGGCUCUUCAGAGUCUCACAUUAUGA
rnacentral:rRNA from 1 species